GGGGAUAUAGCUCAGCUGGGAGAGCGCUUGAAUGGCAUUCAAGAGGUCAGCGGUUCGACCCCGCUUAUCUCCA
rnacentral:tRNA from 1 species